rnacentral:rRNA from 1 species
GAUGAACGCUGGCGGCGUGCCUAAUACAUGCAAGUCGAGCGAACGGACGAGAAGCUUGCUUCUCUGAUGUUAGCGGCGGACGGGUGAGUAACACGUGGAUAACCUACCUAUAAGACUGGGAUAACUCCGGGAAACCGGAGCUAAUACCGGAUGAUAUUUUGAACCGCAUGGUUCAAAAGUGAAAGACGGUCUUGCUGUCACUUAUAGAUGGAUCCGCGCCGCAUUAGCUAGUUGGUAAGGUAACGGCUUACCAAGGCAACGAUGCAUAGCCGACCUGAGAGGGUGAUCGGCCACACUGGAACUGAGACACGGUCCAGACUCCUACGGGAGGCAGCAGUAGGGAAUCUUCCGCAAUGGGCGAAAGCCUGACGGAGCAACGCCGCGUGAGUGAUGAAGGUCUUCGGAUCGUAAAACUCUGUUAUUAGGGAAGAACAUAUGUGUAAGUAACUGUGCACAUCUUGACGGUACCUAAUCAGAAAGCCACGGCUAACUACGUG